GCACACUGAGAGGAUGAGAAUCUCCGAAGGAGGUUUGAGCCGAACGUAGUGAGACCACGUUGCUUUAGCAACGGCCCGCAGGGCAAGCAUCGAAGAUGCGCAUAAUCCUCUCAUGCCGACCA
rnacentral:sRNA from 1 species